CAGCCGCCGCGGUAAAACGUAGGGUGCAAGCGUUAAUCGGAAUUACUGGGCGUAAAGCGUGCGUAGGUGGUGGUUUAAGUCCGUUGUGAAAGCCCUGGGCUCAACCUGGGAAUUGCAGUGGAUACUGGGUCACUAGAGUGUGGUAGAGGAUAGUGGAAUUUCCGGUGUAGCAGUGAAAUGCGUAGAGAUCGGAAGGAACAUCUGUGGCGAAGGCGACUAUCUGGGCCAACACUGACACUGAGGCACGAAAGCGUGGGGAGCAAACAGGAUUAGAUACCCCCGUAGUCCCUGUCUCUUAUAC
rnacentral:rRNA from 1 species